rnacentral:tRNA from 1 species
ACAUUUGUAGUAUAAAUAAUACGUUAAAUUUAGAAUUUAAAAAUAAAAAAUGUU